rnacentral:lncRNA from 1 species
UCCCAUCCAUCCAAUCCUCCUCACAGCCGCCACCCGACCGGCCUCCUCCUUCCUAUGGAUCUCCUCUUGAUCCCCAUCCAUCCAACCGCAGUCGCCACCCGACCGGCCUCCUCCUUCCUAGGGAUCUCCUCUUGAUCCCCAUCCAUCCAACCGCAGCCGCCGACCACCUCACAUGUUCUACGCGCCUCUCCAAUCCCAGUGCGCUCCACCUUGCAGCCAGCACAACCCACUUCUCUCCUUGGAUACACCCAACCACCCCAUGCGCCCGCGUCCAGUGCCCGGAAGGUUAGCUGCAUCCACACCUCCCCUCACGCCCAUUCUACUCCAUGCGCGCCACCAGAGCCCUGAGCCAACCUCGUCACCGUUCAUCACCAACUCGGGAGAAUACUAGCAUAUGAGCAACAUCGGCCCCUGCACUCUUGCUGCACCUCCUUACGCUCUUUAUCUCCCUCUCCCCUAACUUCUCUUUCCUUUUCAUGGUCCAAUAAUAGCAGGAAUCCAAUGGACACCUUCAGCAGGAGCUCUCCACCAUGAUCGCCCAAAUUUUUCCCUCUGCCUUCCAUUCCUCGCUACGAACCGGAGCUCCGGUGAGCGGUCGUUAGAAUUCAACUAGGACUCCGUCAUGAGCGACCAAAAGGUCAACAAUGCCAUGCCUCUCUUUCUUCCCCUAUUCUUUUUUCUCGCGCUCAUCACUAUGCCCCCUAUAUCAAUUCUCUAUUCAGGAAUAUCCGUGACCACGAAGCCGAGCUCCCCAUGACGAGCAUCACACUUUAUCUAGUCGGGAGACACCAUUCCCAUACGUUCCCGAUGCCCACGUUGCUGGCCUCGUCUUGCUGUCAAUCCGCGCCGCUACAUCCAUCCACUAUGCCGAUGGGUUGCUUGAGCCUCUCCCAAAUCGAGCAAGUGAGGAGAUCCCUCACAUUGAUUGCGCCACCCCAGCAAGGUGAGGAUCCUCCCGACCCAUUCAUGCAUGCCCGCCGCUGUCGUAUGGUUUCAAUCCUUGCUGCUCUGCUCAACUUCGUCGCCGGCGAGCAUUGCCGUAAGGCAUGGCUCCAAACGCUCGUACCUGUUAGCCAAUGGUUAAAGUGAUGAGGCUUCCAUCUAUGUCACAAAUACAGUUCCAGUUGAGCUGGCUAGCACGUGUCCACCCAAUAUGUCAUGGGUUUCAAAUAGACGUGGGCAUGGAUACCCCGGCUCGAUCCCGGUCGAAAAACCUGGGCUGGGUCGGGCUUGCCAUUCGGACCGGGCCCGGUCGUUGUUUUGAAGCUCGAAAGAUAGUUUAGGCUGGGCCCAGGCUUCUCUUCUUUUUGUAUUUAAGGUCGGGCUUUCGCGCUUUGGGUCGGGCUUGCACGUCCAUCCAAUAUAAAAAAGCGUUUGAGCUGAGCUUUCGUGCUUCACGCUCGAUUUCGGGCCCGACUCGGGCUUGAAAACACGGAGUAUUUAAGGCUUCACACCAGGCUCGACCUUGAGAAAUGAAUGUCGGGCUUUUACAAUCCCGACCCAAAACCCGACCCGGCCCUGCGUUUGCGCGGGUUUUGUUCGAAGCCUAGGUUGCCCCUUUUCCCAAUUUUUGCCUGCAACACAUUUUCCUCUGUGCCUAUGACACAUGGGUCCCACUACUCUGUUGAUUGGUCUUCUUUUGACUAGUUGACUACCCUCCUAGCCCACUCGUCAUAGACCAUGCCCAGCCCCAGCAUGUGUUUUCUUUCGUGUACUUUUGUUGCACCAUAUAGAUCUUGCACAGUAAUUACCAGAAAAUGUCAUUAUUUUGCAUUGCUCAUAAAUAAUCAACCGUGCAUCAAAUUAAAAUGUUUUGUAUAUGUAAAAUUAUAGAAUUUUAGGUAGUUUUACAAUAUGCAACUUUCAUCCAUAAUAAAAAAUGUAUAAAUGUGUUGUUCGCAGUAAUUUUCAUAGAUUCCAUGUUAAAACACUUUAAUUCAUAUCUAAAUAACCGUAGCUCCGAAUUAAAUGAAAUAUAUAUGUAACUUGAUUAGAAAAUGUGUAGAAUCACAUAGUGCACUUCCUUUUUCUGUUUAAUAAAUACAAAAUAUGUUUUAGACAUUUCUGCACCAAAUCCAAAAUUUGCAUAUGGGGCCAUUUCUGCUUAUCCUCUUGCCAUGUAAACCAACAUUUAAACCUGUCGAGUAUCUAACAAGAGUGAACUAAACAAUUCGAAUGUGGAGUUUUGUCAACAUGUAACUCAUUGCAUAUUGAGCUACAUUUAAUGUGUAGUAUUUGAAUGUUGCACUUUACCAUGUCUUGCAUAUUUAAAUGGACAUGCAUCAUACUUGUUUGCGCAUCAUAUCAUGAAUAUGUUUUGGUGUUUACCAUGUUAUUUGUUUGUUUCAGGAUUUUCUUCUCCUUGCUAGUGUUUUGAAAGUCUUUGAGAGUGUGAGGAUUUGUUCAAUUAUGACCGUUUGUCUACUUCACGGACUCGUUCAUCUUCCAAGCGGGAUUCCACACAAGAUGAUCAUUACCUUGGAUAUCACUACUAUCUUUGCUAUGGUAGUUGUCUUGAUACUAUUGCUAUCUCUUGCUACCGACCAUGCAUUUUCAAGCCUCCCAAAAUGCCAUGAUAAGCCUCUAAUCAUCCAUCGUCCUAGCAAACCAUUGUGUGGCUAAGUUACCGCUUGCUCAACCCGCUUAUAGCAUUUCUAGUUGUAGGUGUAGUUUAUUCUAUGACAUGGAUAUUAUGGGAUAUCACACUAUCUGUUUAUUUAAUUAACACAUCUAUACACUUGGUAAAUGUUGGAAGGCUUGGCCUGUUGCCUCGCGUCUUGUUCCACUCUUGUCGCCCUAGUUUCCAUUAUACCAGUGUCAUGUGCUACUUGUAAACUGCAUUAGGAUUUUCGCCGAAAUGAAGGGGAGACGCAAAAUAGUAGAGAUAAGUAUUCCCCUCAGUGAAACCAAGGUUAUCAAACCAAUGGGAGAACCAUGCAAAUUCCCGUCUUGAGUGCCUACACACAAAAGAGCACACACUUGCACCCAACGCGGGCAAGAGGGUUGUCAGUCCCCUUGAACUCGUUACUUGCAAGUGAUAAGUACUGAUAGAUAGCCCCAUAUAAAAUAAAAUAAUAGAAAGUAACUGGUAGUAAUAUUUUUGGUGUUUUUGUAAUAUGAUUUGUGAAGACCGGGGGCAUAAUUUUCACUAGAG